rnacentral:rRNA from 1 species
AUUGAACGCUGGCGGCAGGCCUAACACAUGCAAGUCGAGCGUGAAAGGGCUUCGGCCUGAGUAAAGCGGCGGACGGGUGAGUAACGCGUAGGAAUCUACCUGGUAGUGGGGGAUAACGUUCCGAAAGGGACGCUAAUACCGCAUACGUUCCGAGGAAGAAAGCGGGGGAUCGCAAGACCUCGCGCUAUCAGAUGAGCCUGCGUCCGAUUAGCUAGUUGGUGGGGUAAAGGCCUACCAAGGCGACGAUCGGUAACUGGUCUGAGAGGAUGAUCAGUCACACUGGAACUGAGACACGGUCCAGACUCCUACGGGAGGCAGCAGUGGGGAAUAUUGGACAAUGGGCGCAAGCCUGAUCCAGCCAUGCCGCAUGUGUG